AGUGAACGCUGGCGGUAGGCCUAACACAUGCAAGUCGAACGGCAGCACAGUAAGAGCUUGCUCUUACGGGUGGCGAGUGGCGGACGGGUGAGGAAUACAUCGGAAUCUACUUUUUCGUGGGGGAUAACGUAGGGAAACUUACGCUAAUACCGCAUACGACCUACGGGUGAAAGCAGGGGAACUUCGGACCUUGCGCGAUUGAAUGAGCCGAUGUCGGAUUAGCUAGUUGGCGGGGUAAAGGCCCACCAAGGCGACGAUCCGUAGCUGGUCUGAGAGGAUGGUCGGCCACAUGGGAACUGAGAAACGUGCCAGACUCCUAGGGGGGGCAGCAGUGGGGAAUAUUGGAAAAGGGGCGAAAGCCUUAUCCAGCCAUACCGGGGGGGUGAAGAAGGCCUUCGGGUUGUAAAGCCCUUUUGUGGGGAAAAAAAAGCAGCAGGUUAAGACCCCGCUGUUCUGACGGUACCCAAAGAAAAAGCACCGGCUAAUUUCGU
rnacentral:rRNA from 1 species